rnacentral:pre_miRNA from 9 species
UCUCGAUAGCGUGAAAGUUAAGUAAAAUUUGAACGUUUGUUGAGUUGGAACAUUUGUCUAUGUUUGCCGCUAGGGCCACUGUUCCGGCUGCAUACAAGUUUCGGGUAACUUUUACGCUAUCGA